GGGCUUUAGCCAAGUGGUAAGGCAAGGGACUGCAACUCCCUGAUCGCAGGUUCGAAUCUUGUAGGCC
rnacentral:tRNA from 1 species